rnacentral:rRNA from 1 species
GAUGAACGCUAGCGGCAGGCUUAACACAUGCAAGUCGAGGGGCAGCGGGUGUAGCAAUACAUGCCGGCGACCGGCGAAAGGGUGAGUAACGCGUGAGCAACAUGCCCGUAUGUGGGGGAUAGUCGAUGGAAACGUCGCGUAAUACCCCGUAAUAUAUGGAACCGCAUGGUUUUAUAUUGAAAGAUUUAUUGCAUACGGAUUGGCUCGCGUACCAUUAGGUAGACGGCGGGGUAACGGCCCACCGUGCCGACGAUGGUUAGGGGUUCUGAGAGGAAGGUCCCCCACAUUGGAACUGAGACACGGUCCAGACUCC